AGCGAACGCUGGCGGCAGGCCUAACACAUGCAAGUCGAACGGACCUUUCGGGGUUAGUGGCGGACGGGUGAGUAACCCGUGGGAACGUGCCUUUAGGUUCGGAAUAGCUCCUGGAAACGGGUGGUAAUGCCGAAUGUGCCCUUCGGGGGAAAGAUUUAUCGCCUUUAGAGCGGCCCGCGUCUGAUUAGCUAGUUGGUUGAGGUAACGGCUCACCAAGGCGACGAUCAGUAGCUGGUCUGAGAGGAUGGCCAGCCACCUUGGGACUGAGACACGGCCCAAACUCCUACGGGAGGCAGCAGUGGGGAAUCUUGCGCAAUGGGCGAAAGCCUGACGCAGCCAUGCCGCGUGAAUGAUGAAGGUCUUAGGAUUGUAAAAUUCUUUCACCGGGGACGAUAAUGACGGUACCCGAAGAAGAAGCCCCGGCUAACUUCGUG
rnacentral:rRNA from 1 species